rnacentral:rRNA from 1 species
AACGCUGGCGGCGUGCCUAAUACAUGCAAGUCGAACGGUCUUUCUAUGGAAGCUUGCUUCCACUGAAAAGAUAGUGGCGAACGGGUGAGUAACACGUGGGUAACCUGCCCAUAAGAGGGGGAUAACAUCCGGAAACGGGUGCUAAUACCGCAUAGUUUUCUUGAUCGCAUGAUCGGGAAAGGAAAGACGGCCUUUGUGCUGUCGCUUAUGGAUGGACCCGCGGCGUAUUAGUUAGUUGGUGAGGUAACGGCUCACCAAGACGAUGAUACGUAGCCGACCUGAGAGGGUGAUCGGCCACAUUGGGACUGAGACACGGCCCAAACUCCUACGGGAGGCAGCAGUAGGGAAUCUUCCGCAAUGGACGAAAGUCUGACGGAGCAACGCCGCGUGAGUGAAGAAAAGGUUUUCGGAUCGUAAAACUCUGUUGUCAGAGAAGAACAAGUUGGAGAGUAACUGCUCCAGCCUUGACGGUAUCUGACCAGAAAGCCACGGCUAACUACGUGCCAGCAGCCGC